AAGAAAGCAUACAAGAGCUGCUAACUCAAAUCCCCGCAUUUAAACAUGCGGCUUUCUUA
rnacentral:tRNA from 1 species